UCUCACUUCUAAACCUUUCAU
rnacentral:piRNA from 1 species